rnacentral:rRNA from 1 species
UGCCUUCAGGUUGGGGAUAACCCCGGGAAACCGGAGCUAAUACCGAAUAAUAUGGUUUUUACACAGGUAAGAAUCAUUAAAGGUGGGGACCUUAGGGCCUACUGCCUGGAGAUGAGUCCGCGGCCCAUUAGCUUGUUGGUGGGGUAAUGGCCUACCAAGGCUACGAUGGGUAGCCGGCCUGAGAGGGUGGACGGCCACAUUGGGACUGAGAUACGGCCCAGACUCCUACGGGAGGCAGCAGUUAAGAAUCUUGCGCAAUGGGCGAAAGCCUGACGCAGCGACGCCGCGUGGACGAUGAAGGCCUUCGGGUUGUAAAGUCUGGUAAACAGGGAAGAAUAAGCAAAGGGUAAUAUUCUUUGUGAUGACGGUACCUGUCUAAAGCCCCGGCUAACUACGUGCCAGCAGCCGCGGUAAUACGUAUGGGGCAAGCGUUGUUCGGAAUUAUUGGGCGUAAAGGGCGUCUAGGCGGGGGAUUAAGUUGGAUGUGAAAGCCUUAGGCUCAACCUGAGAAUUGCAUCCAAAACUGGUUCUCUUGAGUUCGGGAGAGGAGAGCGGAAUUCCCGGUGUAGCGGUGAAAUGCGUAGAUAUCGGGAAGAACACCAGUGGCGAAGGCGGCUCUCUGGCCUAGGACUGACGCUGAAGCGCGAAAGCGUGGGGAGCGAACGGGAUUAGAUACCCCGGUAGUCCACGCCGUAAACGUUGUGUACUAGGUGUUAGUGGUUUAACCACUAGUGCCGACGCUAACGCAUUAAGUACACCGCCUGGGGAGUACGGCCGCAAGGCUUAAACUCAAAGAAAUUGACGGGGGCCCGCACAAGCGGUGGAGCAUGUGGUUUAAUUCGAUGAUACGCGAGGAACCUUACCUGGGCUUGAACUGUAUCUGACAGGGUGUAGAGAUGCACCCUCCUUCGGGCAGGUACAGAGGUGCUGCAUGGUUGUCGUCAGCUCGUGUCGUGAGAUGUUGGGUUAAGUCCCGCAACGGAGCGCAACCCCUACUCCCUUGUUGCCAUCAGGUAAUGCUGAGCAC